AGAGCUGGGCGGGUUAAGGAGGAGGAUGGCGCCGUCCUGCAGAUGUGCGGGGACGCGCGCCCGCCGCAACGUGAGGCUCAUAGGCCACACGCAACUCUGAGCAUUGGCCAGGACCUGUAGUAGCCAACAGGACACUUAAUAACUGAUGUAUAGGCUGGAGUGCAGUGACGUGAUCUCGGCUCGCUACAACCUCCACCUCCCAGCCGCCUGCCUUGGCCUCCCAAAGUGCCGAGAUUGCAACCUCUGCCCGGCCGCCACCCCGUCUGGGAAGUGAGGAGCGUCUCUGCCUGGCCGCCCAUCGUCUGGGAUGUGAGGAGCCCCUCUGCCCGGCUGCCCAGUCUGGGAAGUGAGGAGCGCCUCUUCCCGGCCGCCAUCCCGUCUAGGAAGUGAGGAGCGUCUCUGCCUGGCUGCCCAUUGUCUGAGAUGUGGGGAUUGCCUCUGCCCCACUGCCCCGUCUGGGAUGUGAGGAGCGCCUCUGCCCGGCCGCGACCCUGUCUAGGAACUGAGGAGUGUCUCUGCCCGAUCGCCACCCAGUCUGCGAGGUGAGGAGCGUCUCUGCCCGGCCGCCCCGUCUGAGAAGUGAGGAGCCCCUCCGCCCGGCAGCCACCCCGUCUGGGAAGUGAGGAGCUCCUCCGCCCGGCAGCCGCCCCGUCUGGGAAGUGAGGAGCCCCUCCGCCCGGCAGCCGCCCCGUCCGGGAAGUGAGGAGCGUCUCCGCCCGGCAGCCACCCUGUCCGGGAGGUGGGGGGCAGCCCCCGCCUGGCCAGCCGCCCCGUCCGGGAGGGAGGUGGGGGGCGCCUCUGCCCGGCCGCCUCGUCUGGGAAGUGAGGAGCCCCUCUGCCCGGCUGCCACCCCGUCUGGGAGGUGUACCCGACAGCUCAUUGGGAACGGGCCAUGAUGAUGAUGGCGGUUUUGUUGAAUAGAAAAGGGGGAAAUGUGGGGAAAAGAGAGAGAUCAGAUUGUUACUGUGUCUGUGUAGAAAGAAGUAGACAUGGGAGACUCCAUUUUGUUCUGUACUAAGAAAAAUUCUUCUGCCUUGGGAUGCUGUUAAUCUAUAACCUUACCCCCAACCCCGUGCUCUCUGAAACAUGUGCUGUAUCCACUCAGGGUUAAAUGGAUUAAGGGCGGUGCAAGAUGUGCUUUGUUAAACAGAUGCUUGAAGGCAGCAUGGUCAUUAAGAGUCAUCACCACUCCCUAAUUUCAAGUACCCAGGGACACAAACACGGUGGAAGGCCGCAGGGUCCUCUGCCUAGGAAAACCAGAGAUGCUUGUUCACAUGUUUAUCUGCUGACCUUCCCUCCACUAUUGUCCUAUGACCCUGCCAAAUCCCCCUCUCCGAGAAACACCCAAGAAUGAUCAAUAAAUACUAAAAGAACAAAAAAAAAAAAACAAACACAAAACAAAAAAACCCAAAACAACAACAACAACAACAAAAAUUGUAGCCCAGGUGCGGUAGUUCAUGCCUGUAAUCCCAGCACUUUGGGAGGCCAAGGUAGGUGAAUCACUUGAGAUCAGGAGUUCGAAACCAGCCUAGCCAACAUGUGGCCAACAUAGCGAAACCUGGUCUCUACUAAAAAUACAAAAAGCCAGGUGUGUUGGUGCUCACCUGUAGUCCCAGCUACUCAGGAGGUUGAGGCACGAGAAUCACUUGAAACCAGGAGGCUGAGGUUGCAGUGAGCUGAGAUCAUGCCACCGCACUCAAGCCUGGGUGACAGAGCUAGACUGUCUCAAAAAACAAACAGACAAACAAAAACUAUAGGCUGGACACGGUAGCUCAUGCCUGUAAUCCCAACGGGCAGAUUGCUUGAGCUCAGGAGUUUGAGACCAGCCUGGGCAACAUGGCAAAACCUCUUCUCUACUAAAAAUAUAAAAAAUUAGCCAGGCAGGAUUGUGUGUGUCUGUGGUCCCAGCUACCAGGGAGGCUGAGAUAGGACGAUUACUUGAGCCCAGGAGGCAGAGGUUGCAGUGAGCUGAGAUCUUACCACUGCAUUCCAGCAAGACUCAGUCUCAAAAAAAAAAAAGAAAAAAAAAAAAAGAAAAAUUGUAAAAAGCAAUUUCUUGUAAAAAACAAAAACUGUACAGAGGCUACAAACAAUUGCCCCAUUUAUGUUGCCUACCCAGUCCUCAAAGAUGGCCAUUGCUCUUUGACACCUAUAUUGAUCAAGAUGUUUUCUCUGUUUAGACUUCAUAUAUAUGUGAACAUAAUUUCUGCCAUAUUUGGAGUAAUUUUGAACACACUGUUCUCCUACUCUUUUUUAAUUCCUCAAAUUGUAUUUUGGUUAUCUUUUUUUUUCCUUUUGAGAUGGAGUUUCACUCUUGUUGCCCAGGCUGGAGUGCAAUGGUGCCAUCUCAGCUCACAACAACCUCCGCCUCCCGGGUUUGAGCGAUUCUCCUGCCUCAGCCUCCCGAGUAGCUGGGAUUACAGCUAUGCACCACCACGCCUGGCUAAUUUUGUAUUUUUAAUAGAAGCAGGGUUUCUCCAUGUUGGUCAGGCGGGUCUCGAACUCUCGAACUCAAGUGAUCCACCCGCCUCGGCCUCCCAAAGUGCUGGGAUUGCAGGCGUGAGUCACCGUGCCUGGCCUUGUGGAUAUCUUUCUAUGUCAGUACAUAGAACUUGAUAUUAAGUGCUAUCUAUAUACUGAUGACUCUCAGUGUAUUUACAUUUUCAGCUCAGACUUCUCUUCUGAACUCUAGACUUAUAAAUAUCUACUUGACAUUGACAUAACCACCCUGAUGUCUCACAGAUUCCUUUUUUUUUUUUUUUUGAGAUGGAGUUUUGCUCUUGUUGCCUAGGCUGGAGUGCAAUGGCGUGAGCUCAGCUCACCACAACCUCCGCCUCCUGGGUUCAAGCUCAAGCAAUUCUCCUGCCUCAGCCUCCCAAGUAGCUGGGAUUACAGGCAUGUGCCACCACACCCAGCUAAUUUUGUAUUUUUUUUUUUUUUUUUAGUAGAGACGGGGUUUCUCCGUGUUGAUCAGGCUGGUCUCGAACUCCCCACCUCAGGUGAUCCACCCACCUCGGCCUCCCAAAGUGCUAGGAUUACAGGCGUGAGCCACUGUGCCCGGCCCCACCCCCCCGCUUUUUUUUUUGAGAUGGAGUCUUGCUCUGUCACCCAGGCUGGAGUGCAGCUGUGUGAUCUCAGCUCAGGGCAACUUCUGCCUCCUGGGUUCACGCAAUUCUCUUGUCUCAGUCUCCUGUGUAGCUGGGAUUACAGGCGCGUGCCACCACGUCUGGCUAUUUUUUUUUUUCUUUUUCUUUUUUUGAGACAGUGUCUAGCUCUGUCACCCAGGCUGGAGUGCAGUGGCGCGAUCUCGGCUCACUGCAACCUCUGCCUCCUGGGUUCAAACGAUUCUCCUGCCUCAGCCUCCCAAGUAUCUGGGAUUACAGGCGCCCGCCACCACGCCCAGCUAAUUUUUGUAUUUUUAGUAGAGACAGGGUUUCACCCUGUUGGCCAGUCUGGUCUCAAACUCCUGACCUCAUGAUCCGCCUGCCUCAGCCUCCCAAAGUGCUGGGAUUACAAGCGUGAGCCACCGUACCUGGCUAAUUUUUGCAUUUUUAGUAGAGACGGGGUUUCACCAUGUUGGCCAGGCUGGUCUCAAACUCCUGAACUCAGUGAUCCUCCCACCUCAGCCUCCCAAAGUGCUGGGAUUAUAGGUGUGAGCCACCGCCCCUGGCCUCACAGAUUCCUUUUUUUUUUUUUUUAAUUGGAGACAGGAUCUUGCUCUGUCACUACUCAGGCUGGAGUGCAGUGGCACAAUUAUGACUCACUGCAGGCUUGAUCCCCCUGGGCUCAAGCAAUCCUCCCACCUCAGCCUCCCAAGUAGCUGGGACCACAGGCACACGCCACCACGCCCAGCUUAUUUAUUUUUUGUAGAGAGGAGGUCUCACCAGGUUGCCCAGGCUGGUUUCCAACUCCUGGGCUCAAGUGAUCCACCCACCUCUGCCUCCCCAAGUACUGGGAUUACAGGUGUGAGCCAUCGUGCCCGGACUUGUCUCACAGAUACUAAACACAGAACGCUCAAACCUGCUACUCCUGCAGGCUUCCUCUCCUCACCAUUCACCUACUUGCUCAAACCAAAAACCUCAGAGUCAUUCUUGCCUUUUCCUUCUUUUUUUUUUUUUUUGAGACAGAGUCCCGCUCUGUCACCCAGGCUGGAGUGCAGUGGCGCGAUCUGGGCUCACUGCAGGCUCCACCUCCCAGGUUCAUGCCAUUCUCCUGCCUCAGCCUCCAGAGUAGCUGGGAAUACAGGCGUCUGCCACCACACCGGCUAAUUUUUUGUAUUUUUAGUAGAGAUGGGGUUUCACUGUGUUAGCCAGGAUGGUCUCGAUCUCCUGACCUCGUGAUCCGGCUGCCUCAGCCUCCCAAAGUGCUAGGAUUACAGGCGUGAGCCACCACGCCCGGCCAUUCUUGCCUUUUCUUCUCCUGCAGUCACUACUAUUGACUUGUUUUUUCGACCUCCACGAUGCAUCAUCAAAUUGUUCUUCUCCCUGUCUCCAUCUCUACUGCCACUACUCCUCCAACCGGCCUGAUUUACCGCAGUCACCUCCUAAUGGGUGUUCCUGCUUCCAUGUUGGCUUCUCCCCACAACAAGCCACUUUCAAUGAAUGGCUAAUUGUGAUUAACAACGACAACAACAAACAGUUAUGUAAGUUACUUCAAUUACUUUCCACCAUACUGGAAAAAAAUCCAAAUGCCCUGUCAUAGCCUAGGAAAGCCUACCCUGCCCCUCUCCCAGUUUUACCUUGGAUCUUUCUGCCCUUGUUUAGUGUAUUCUCUCUUCCAUGGUCUUAUCCCGUUUGCUCAAAAGGCCAAGGUAUGUCUCUACCUCCAGGGCUUUGUCCAUUCUAAUGCCUCUAUUAGAAUGCUUUUCCUCCGGCCUGGGGCGGUGGCUUAUGCUUGUAAUCCCAACACUUUGGGAAGCCAAGGCAGGGAGAUCACGAGGUCAGGAGUUCAAGACCAGCCUGGCCAACAUGGUAAAACCCUGUCUCUACUAAAGGUACAAAAAGUUAGCCGGGUGUGGUGGUGUGCCCCUGUAAUCCCAGCUACUCGGGAGGCUGAGGCAGGAGAAGCUUGAACCCGGGAGGCAGAGGUUGCAGUGGGCCAAGAUUGUGCCAUUGCACUCCAGCCUGGGUGACGGCACAAGACUCUGUCUCAAAAAAAAAAAAAAAAAGUAAAGGAAUGCUUUUCCUUUCUGUUCUUCAGCCUGGCUAACUUCUCCUCAUGCUACAGGUCUCAGUUAAAAUGUCACUUUCUUAGAAAGGUCCUCUCUGAUCUCCCCUCCAAUCUAAAUUAGAUGCCAAUAUUGCUUUCUCUCAAAAUAACUCCAUCUUUUUUUUUUUUUUUUUUUUUGAGAAGGAGUCUCACUCUGUUGCCCAGGCUGGAGUGUAAUGGCAUGAUCUCUUCUCACUGCAACCUCCGCCUCUCAGGUUCAAGUGAUUCUCCCGCCUCAGCCUCCCGAGUAGCUGGGAUUAUAAGCACCCACCAUCAUGUCCAGCUAAUUUUUGUAUUUUUGUAGAGACAGGGUUUCACCAUGUUGGCCAGGCUUGGUCUUGAACUCCUGACCUCAGGCGAUCUUGCUUUGGCCUCCCAAAGUGCUGGGAUUACAGGCAUGAGCCACCAUGCUUGGCCAAUAACCCAAUCUUUACUCAAUAUUACCAUUGUGCAUUAUUGCACAUAAUUAGUGUAUUGGUUUAGUAUCUUUACAUCUAGACUGAAAACUGUGAGGAACCAUUUGGGUUUCUUUGCUGUAUCCCUAACACCUGGCAAGGGCCUGGUAUAGUGAAAAUGCGUAACAAAUAAUUGUUGAAGUCUAGGCACGGUGGCUCACACCUGUAAUCCCAACACUUUGAGAGGCUGACGUGGGUGGAUCACUUGACCUCAGGGAGGGUACAAGACCAGCCUGGGCAACAUGGUGAAACCCCAUCUCUACUAAAAAUACAAAAAUUAGCAGGACGUGAUGGCACAUGCCUGUGGUCCCAGCUACUCAGGAGACUGAGGCAGCAGAAUUGCUUGAACCUGGGAGGUGGAGGUUGCAGUGAGCCGGGAUUGCGAUCCUGCCUAAAAAAAGAAAAAUAACAAAAUAAUUGAUAAGUGAAAACUAGGUGCAAGUAUAGGAGUUGAGAGCAAAGUGGGCAAAGGCAGAUUUUUUCUUAGUAAACGCUGUAUUGUUUUGUACUUUCUUUCUGAUCUGCUGCAUUUUGGGAUCCACUUGCAACUUAAACCUGAUGUUGGCCAGGUGUGGUGGCUCACACCUGUAAUCUAGUACUGUUGGAGGCCGAGGCGAGUGGAUUGCCAGAGCUCAGGAGUUUGAGACCAGCCUGGGCCACAUGAUGAAACUUCGUCUUUAGUAAAAUACAAAAAUUAGCCAGAUACGGUGGUGCACGCCUGCAGUCCCAGCUGCUUGGGAGGCUGAGGCAGGAGAAUCGCUUGAACCUGGGAGGCGGAAGUUGCAAUGGGAUGAGAUUGCUCCAUUGCACUCCAGCCUGGGCAACAGGGUGAGACUCCAUCUCAAAAAACAAAAACAAAGCAAAAAAAUCCCUGAUGUUAACAAGAAUGUGCACAGCGAUAAGGCUGUAUACGAAGUGCAGAUGAUGGGGACAAAUUGAGGCCAAAUCAGAUGAAAGCAGAGCUUGGGACUCAGGACCCCUCCUUCCUGGGAGCUGAAUAGACUCGGGUGGCAGGAAAGAGGCUCUGGCUGCCGGAUAGCUCUGGGUGGGCCCAGAGCAAAUGACCUGACCUGGUCCCCCUCACCCACUCCUGCAGUGGCUAUCACUUAGAAAUCAGCAUCCAGGCUGGGUGCGGUGGCCACGCCUGCAAUCCCAGCGCUUUAGGAGGCCGAGGCAGGUGGAUCACCUGAGGUCAGGAGUUUGAGACCAGCCUGAACAAUACGGUGAAACCCCAUCUCUACUAAAAAUACAAAAAAUUAGCCGAUGUGGUGGCGGGCGUCUGUAAUCCCAGCUACUCGGGAGGCUGAGGCAGGAGAACUGCUUGAACCCAGGAGGUGGAGGAUUGCUUGAGUCCAGGAGUUCAAGGCUGCACAUGAACUGUGAUUGUGCCACUGAAGGGCCCUAUCUCAAAGACAAAACGAAAAAUAAAUAAAAAUUUAAAUGAGGAGGCGGGAGCUACAUCAGAUUGGAGUUACCAGCAAGGAAAGCAGGGAGGAAAAAUGAAAAAGUGAGACUACCUCAACCCUGGUCAGUUGCAGAGACCUGGGAGCCCUCUGGACAAGGGAGCCACUCUCUCAAGAGUGAAGCACCACCCACUGCCACUUCAAGACAGGAGUUAUGCCCAGCCCAGGUGGGCAGUGGUGGCCUUGAAGGCAGAGCUUUGUUUCUGUGCAGGCCUGUUGGGCAGGAGGGAAGAGCGGAGAGGGAGUGAGAUCUGGCAUCGUCUCUAAGCACUGAGUGUCUGUGGGAUCCCUAAACAGCCCUGAACCUCACUCAUUCCUUCCUUGUCCUCAGGCUUCUCCCUAUUCCCCACAGAUCUAAGGCUGCCAGCUGUCCCUGCCCUGAGGCUGUCCCCUGCAACCAGGGAGGCCACAGCCCCCCAGCUGGGACCUGCAGCCUCAAGGACUCUUAUUCCACAAGUAGCUUUUCCUGAGGGUGUGCUGGAGACAAACAGCAUGGCGAAGGGUAAUGAAACUCAGGCCCUAUUUUUCUUUUGAGACGAAGUCUCCCUCUGUCACUCAGGCUGGAGUGCAGUGGCGUGAUCUCUGCUCACUGCAACCUCCACCUCCUGGGUUCAAGUGAUCUUCCUGCCUCAGUCCCCGAGUAGCUGGGAUUACAGGCUUGUGCCCCACGCCUGGCUAAUGUAUUUUUAGUAGAGACGGGGUUUCACCACGUUGACCAGGCUGGUCUCCAACUCAUGACCUCAGGUGAUCCGCCUGCCUUGGCAUCCCAAAGUGCCAGGAUGACAGGCAUGAACCACUGUGCCCGGCCUGAGAGAGGAAGAUUUUUCUACAGAAGUAUUUCAGCUAAUAAGCUAAGAAAAUAGAAAAUUAGGGCCAGGCACAGUGGCUUACACCUGUCAUCCCAGCACUUUGGGAGCCCAGGAGUUUAAGACCAGCCUUGGCAACAUAGGGAGACCUCAUCUCUAAAAGAAAUAA
rnacentral:lncRNA from 1 species